CCUACGGGAGGCAGCAGUGAGGAAUAUUGGUCAAUGGGCUUACGCCUGAACCAGCCAAGUCGCGUGAGGGAAGACUGCCCUAUGGGUUGUAAACCUCUUUUGUCAGGGAGCAACGCCGGCUACGUGUAGCCGGACUGAGAGUCCCUGAAGAAAAAGCCUCGGCUAACUCCGUGCCAGCAGCCGCGUUAAUACGGAGGAUGCGAGCGUUGUCCGGAUUUAUUGGGUUUAAAGGGUGCGUAGGCGGAAUGCCAAGUCAGCGGUAAAAUCGCGGGGCUCAACCUCGCUCCGCCGUUGACACUGGCGUUCUGGAGUGGGCGAGAAGUAUGCGGAAUGCGUGGUGUAGCGGUGAAAUGCAUAGAUAUCACGCAGAACUCCGAUUGCGAAGGCAGCAUACCGGCGCCCAACUGACGCUGAAGCACGAAAGCGUGGGUAUCGAACAGGAUUAGAUACCCGGGUAGUC
rnacentral:rRNA from 1 species